rnacentral:rRNA from 1 species
UACGUAGGGUGCGAGCGUUAAUCGGAAUUACUGGGCGUAAAGGGUGCGCAGGCGGUCCUGCAAGUCAGGCGUGAAAUCCCCGGGCUUAACCUGGGAAUGGCACUUGAAACUACGGGACUGGAGUAUGGCAGAGGGAGGUGGAAUUCCACGUGUAGCGGUGAAAUGCGUAGAGAUCGGCAGGAACACCCAGGGGGAAACCAGCCGACUGGGCAUCUACUGACGCUGAGGUGCGAGAGCGUGGGGAGCGAACCGG